AGCUUUGUACAGUGGAAAUAUGAUAGCCAGUGAGGUUUAUCCUACAUUAUUGCUAAUUGAAAACUUUUUCCAAUACCCUGCCAUGACAACUUGCUAGUCAACAUUGGCAAUUUUUGACAGUCACUAUGGAGA
rnacentral:snRNA from 1 species